UACGGAGGAUCCAAGCGUUAUCCGGAAUCAUUGGGUUUAAAGGGUCCGUAGGUGGACGAUUAAGUCAGAGGUGAAAUCCUGCAGCUCAACUGUAGAAUUGCCUUUGAAACUGGUUGUCUUGAGUUAUUAUGAAGUAGUUAGAAUAUGUAGUGUAGCGGUGAAAUGCAUAGAUAUUACAUAGAAUACCAAUUGCGAAGGCAGAGUACUAAUAAUGUACUGACACUGAUGGACGAAAGCGUGGGGAGCGAACAGG
rnacentral:rRNA from 1 species